GACGUACGCUGGCGGCGUGCUUAACACAUGCAAGUCGAACGGAAAGGCCCUGCUUUUGUGGGGUGCUCGAGUGGCGAACGGGUGAGUAACACGUGAGUAACCUGCCCUUGCCUUUGGGAUAACUUCAGGAAACUGGGGCUAAUACCGGAUAGGAGCUCCUGCUGCAUGGUGGGGGUUGGAAAGUUUCGGCGGUUGGGGAUGGACUCGCGGCUUAUCAGCUUGUUGGUGGGGUAGUGGCUUACCAAGGCUUUGACGGGUAGCCGGCCUGAGAGGGUGACCGGCCACAUUGGGACUGAGAUACGGCCCAGACUCCUACGGGAGGCAGCAGUGGGGAAUCUUGCACAAUGGGCGGGAGCCUGAUGCAGCAACGCCGCGUGCGGGAUGACGGCCUUCGGGUUGUAAACCGCUUUCGCCUGUGACGAAGCGUGAGUGACGGUAAUGGGUAAAGAAGCACCGGCUAACUACGUG
rnacentral:rRNA from 1 species